AGUGGAGAUGACUGGAGGAAAACAGCCAGGGAGAGAAGACACCCAAUCCAUCACAGCUCUGUAACCAGUCUAGAUUUAAUAUUCCACAAAUAUUAGUGGCUUCAGCUUCCUGUGACCUGGAAAGAGAAAGGACGGUGAAAGUCACUCACAAAAUGCAUCAGCCACCCUGCUUCGUCCAGGCACGGGGAGAGUCAGCCCGCAGGUGCCUGCAGUGUGCCUGCUGCGGGCGCUAGCUGCGCGGCGACACCGGUGCCACUGCCCAAAUUGGUGCCUUCCUGAAACCACCUUCUUACAUGCCCGUGCAAAAUAAAUUUGCGUGACUAGAAAAAUGGGAAAUCUUCCCCUGAAAUGAACCUUCUCUAGAGAGGGGAGAAAUUACAUUCAGUGCAUGGAAAUCGCCACAGAAUUGCUAUUAAUUGAGAUGGGCUGUGGACGCAGUAUGGGAAGAGAAGAGCACACGUCCUCAUGCUGAGAACGGGGAUGGGAAGUGUUUUGCCAGUCCCAAAAGCUGGGAAGAGCUCUGAACUCUCAGUUCACGGUAUUCCUGGGAAACAACAGAGCUCUCUCCACUGGGGAGAUACCGCAGUGCAGUAACAACUGGUGUGUGACCACCACUGCAUUCGGUACUCCAGGUAACUGCAGGAACAAGACGGUGUCUCCCAGGGAGGCUGGCUAAAUGCUGUCCAUGUGCAGGGCAGUGUGAGAGGGGGCAGCUGGGCUCCCAGCGAGAUCAAUGUCCUGCUGGGGAGGGAAAAGCAGGGGCUGAGUCGGUGCCUCUACAUUUCCACGCUGAGUCCUCAGUUCUGUUUGUCCUCCUGUCCUCUCUUCAGGAUCUGGCAGCAGCAACAGUGCACCGGGUUCCCUGGUGAACAAGAGAGACAGGAGUCACCACUCGCACCUUCCUUGGCCGCUUCCCGCUGUGAUGCGGAGGAGUGGGAGAGGGUGCACGCCUGGAGAAGAUGUGCAAGGUGCCAGUGCGAAGAGCCAGAUCCCAGACCUGCCUGUGCUCUCUUGCCCAGCUGGCCUCUGGGCUUGCUUUGGGACUGGGAAGCGGCCUGGGAAUCACGUAUGAGCCUGCCUGAAGCUGCCACACAAAAGGCAAGAGAAGCUGGGGAAGUGACGGGAACUGCUGCUAGCAGGAAGAGGGCUUGUUUGUUAAGAGAACAUGUCUGCGUCAGGCAUGCAGGCCAAACUGCCAAUACAGCUGCUGACCGUCUAGUCUGGCUGCCACUACCAUGAAUCCUUGAGCUAAGAAAUUCCUCCGUGUUUAAAUGGGCUUUCCCAAGUACUUUACAUCUUACCUUCCUUACUUCCACCCCGCCCCACUGGUAUUUGCUGUCUGCCCACGCUUCUGUUAAUCCUAGCCCCUAUCUAUUAUGCUAAAUCAUUUUUCACUUGAAAAGUCUUGCAUUACUUGAGAUAGGGACCUACUAUUGGAGGCUUAACAAAAGGUUUCAACAGCUGUUAGCAAAGUUUCUAAUUGCCAUUUCCGAGUGUCAGAUCUGCCUUGUACAUCCAUUGGUGUAAUUACAGAGUGUUAAAUGUCACGUUUGUUCAGAGAGCUGAGAAAUGUGGCUGAUGUUUCAGUUGCUCCUGGGAAUGUUAAUUACCUUGCUGGUGUCCUACACAUCCCACAGGAAACUGUGUCACCUCCACUGGCUUGGCUGGUUUUACCAGGACAGAUAAUGACUUUCCUGGGACAUGACUCACUC
rnacentral:lncRNA from 1 species